CAAGAAGAGAACAAUGGAGCGCCACAUUUGGAUGAUUACAGAUGAGACUUUAUGUACUGCAGACGAUGAAUCAAGUAACAAACCAAUGGAUGAGGACAGCAGGUUUUCUGUGCCAGCCGUGGUAAAUACAGGAACAUCCUUCAUGAAGAUGUGUGAGAGAAGCUUGUAAGGUAUUUUUUACUGACUUUCCUGCCUCUUUGGAACAUUUCUGUUCACACAGACUGUGGAGAGAUUGUUUGCUGCUUCAUGACAUUCGAAGUUUACUGCCGAUGGAGAGCUUCUGGGACAUUGAAAGACAGCACUUCCCAGCAAGUUCAUUUGGAG
ensembl:lncRNA